rnacentral:rRNA from 1 species
UACGUAGGUGACCAGCGUUGUCCGGAUUUACUGGGCGUAAAGAGCGCGCAGGCGGUCGUUCAAGUCGAGUGUGAAAGCCCCCGGCUCAACUGGGGAGGGUCAUUCGAUACUGAUCGACUCGAAGGCAGGAGAGGGAAGCGGAAUUCCCGGUGUAGUGGUGAAAUGCGUAGAUAUCGGGAGGAACACCAGUGGCGAAGGCGGCUUCCUGGCCUGUUCUUGACGCUGAACCGCGAAAGCUAGGGGAGCAAACGGG